rnacentral:rRNA from 1 species
UACGUAGGGUCCGAGCGUUGUCCGGAAUUAUUGGGCGUAAAGGGCUCGUAGGCGGUUCGUCACGUCGGGAGUGAAAACUCGGAGCUUAACUCCGAGCCUGCUUCCGAUACGGGCAGACUAGAGGUAGGCAGGGGAGAGCGGAACUCCUGGUGUAGCGGUGGAAUGCGCAGAUAUCAAGAGGAACACCUGCGGCGAAGGCGGGUUGCUGGGCCGACACUGACGCUGAAGCGCGAAAGCCAGGGGAGCGAACGGG